rnacentral:rRNA from 1 species
UAGGGAAUCUUCGGCAAUGGGGGCAACCCUGACCGAGCAACGCCGCGUGAGUGAAGAAGGUUUUUCGGAUCGUAAAGCUCUGUUGUAAGAGAAGAACGUGUGUGAGAGUGGAAAGUUCACACAGUGACGGUAACUUACCAGAAAGGGACGGCUAACUACGUACCAG